AUCAUAUGAACCUUCAAUAAUUCAAUCUAUUUGCUGGUUGAGGUACUUGCCUUGAUAUUGAUAGAUACUGACCUAACAGGAUGAUGGUUGCUAAAGUUUGGGGGUGGUUGGGCAAUUUCUUAAAGUAAAACAAUAAUGAAAUUUGCCAAACUGACACUAUUUUCAAUAAAGAUAUCUGUAUUACAUAAAAUGCUAUUUGAUGGCAUUUUACCCACAGAAUUCUUUCAAAAUUAAAGUCAGUCCUUUCAAUUCCUG